rnacentral:rRNA from 1 species
CAGUCGCCACGGGAAUACGUAGGGUGCAAGCGUUAAUCGGAAUUACUGGGCGUAAAGCGUGCGCAGGCGGUUUGUUAAGACAGAUGUGAAAUCCCCGGGCUCAACCUGGGAACUGCAUUUGUUACUGGCAAGCUAGAGUGUGGCAGAGGGGGGUGGAAUUCCGCGUGUAGCAGUGAAAUGCGUAGAUAUGCGGAGGAACACCGAUGGCGAAGGCAGCCCCCUGUGCCAACACUGACGCUCAUGCACGAAAGCGUGGGGAGCAAACAGGAUUAGAUACCCGUGUAGUCCCUGUCUCUUAUAC